CUACCAUGCAGUCGAACGAUGAUCCGGAGCUUGCUUUGGUGAUUAGUGGCGAACGGGUGANUAACACGUGAGUAACCUGCCCUUGACUCUGGGAUAAGCACUGGAAACGGUGUCUAAUGCCGGAUAUGACCUUUGACGGCAUCGUCUAUUGGUGGAAAGAAUUUUGGUCAAGGAUGGACUCGCGGCCUAUCAGGUUGUUGGUGAGGUAAUGGCUCACCAAGCCUACGACGGGUAGCCGGCCUGAGAGGGUGACCGGCCACACUGGGACUGAGACACGGCCCAGACUCCUACGGGAGGCAGCAGUGGGGAAUAUUGCACAAUGGGCGAAAGCCUGAUGCAGCAACGCCGCGUGAGGGAUGACGGCCUUCGGGUUGUAAACCUCUUUUAGUAAGGAAGAAGAACUUCGGUUUGACGGUACUUGCAGAAAAAGCACCGGCUAACUACGUGCCAGCAGCCGCGGUAAUACGUAGGGUGCAAGCGUUGUCCGGAAUUAUUGGGCGUAAAGAGCUCGUAGGCGGUUUGUCGCGUCUGCUGUGAAAACUGGAGGCUCAACCUCCAGCCUGCAGUGGGUACGGGCAGACUAGAGUGCGGUAGGGGAGAUUGGAAUUCCUGGUGUAGCGGUGGAAUGCGCAGAUAUCAGGAGGAACACCGAUGGCGAAGGCAGAUCUCUGGGCCGUAACUGACGCUGAGGAGCGAAAGCAUGGGGAGCGAACAGGAUUAGAUACCCUGGUAGUCCAUGCCGUAAACGUUGGGAACUAGAUGUAGGGGCCAUUCCACGGUUUCUGUGUCGCAGCUAACGCAUUAAGUUCCCCGCCUGGGGAGUACGGCCGCAAGGCUAAAACUCAAAGGAAUUGACNGGGGCCCGCACAAGCGGCGGA
rnacentral:rRNA from 1 species